AAAAUGAAUGCCAUUGGUUGGUUGAUCUUUCUUCGGAGAGAACCUGACCAGUGGUGUAUAACCUUUGUGAACCAUAAUCUACCCUUGGGCCGUUGCCAACCCGCUUGGGAAGGUAUUCGACCCAGCAUCAAGAAUCAACCUUUUAAAUUUGACUUAUUAUUUUUUAAUUAAAAUUAAACAACUUUAGACAACGGAUCUCUUGGCUCU
rnacentral:misc_RNA from 1 species